rnacentral:tRNA from 1 species
UCCGGUGUGGUCUAGUGGCUAGGAUACCUGGCUCUCACCCAGGAGGCCCGGGUUCGAUUCCCGGGUACCGGAA